rnacentral:rRNA from 1 species
CCUACGGGCGGCAGCAGUGGGGAAUAUUGGACAAUGGGCGAAAGCCUGAUCCAGCCAUGCCGCGUGUGUGAAGAAGGCCUUCGGGUUGUAAAGCACUUUCAGUGGGGAAGAAAGCCUUGGGGCUAAUACCCUCGAGGAAGGACAUCACCCACAGAAGAAGCACCGGCUAACUCCGUGCCAGCAGCCGCGGUAAUACGGAGGGUGCGAGUGUUAAUCGGAAUUACUGGGCGUAAAGCGCGCGUAGGCGGUCUGAUAAGCCGGUUGUGAAAGCCCCGGGCUCAACCUGGGAACGGCAUCCGGAACUGUCAGGCUAGAGUGCAGGAGAGGAAGGUAGAAUUCCCGGUGUAGCGGUGAAAUGCGUAGAGAUCGGGAGGAAUACCAGUGGCGAAGGCGGCCUUCUGGACUGACACUGACGCUGAGGUGCGAAAGCGUGGGUAGCAAACAGGAUUAGAUACCCGAGUAGUC